GACGGGGGAUGCAAGUGUUAUCCGGAAUCACUGGGCGUAAAGCGUCUGCAGGUGGUUUCCUAAGUCCACUGUUAAACCUUGAGGCUCAACCUCAAAUCUGCAUUGGAAGCUAGGAGACUUGAGUAUAGUAGGGGUAGAGGGAAUUUCCAGUGGAGCGGUGAAAUGCGUAGAUAUUGGAAAGAACACCGAUGGCGAAGGCACUCUACUGGGCUAUUACUGACACUCAGAGACGAAAGCUAGGGGAGCAAAUGGG
rnacentral:rRNA from 1 species